UACGUAGGGGGCAAGCGUUGUCCGGAUUUAUUGGGCGUAAAGCGCGCGCAGGCGGUCUAUUAAGUCUGAUGUGAAAGCCCACGGCUCAACCGUGGAGGGCCAUUGGAAACUGGUAGGCUUGAGUGCAGGAGAGGAGAGCGGAAUUCCCGGUGUAGCGGUGAAAUGCGCAGAUAUCGGGAAGAACACCCGUGGCGAAGGCGGCUCUCUGGGACGGUACUGACGCUGAGACGCGAAAGCGUGGGGAGCGAACAGG
rnacentral:rRNA from 1 species